GUUGGUUGUGGCUUGGUGGUAGAGCACUUGCCUAGCAUAUGUGAGGCACUGAGUUCAAUCCUCAGCCCCACA
rnacentral:tRNA from 1 species